GUUCUCCAAUCAAGUAGGACUACCCGCUGAACUUAAGCAUAUCGAAAGCACUUGGAAAGAGAAUGAAAUAGUAUGUGAAAUUGCUGGAAGGGAAACGAUUGAAGUUAGACUUGCGUGGGUGAUAUUCAGCCUGUCUUCGGACUGGUGUAUUUGUUGCCCUUUGCAGGCCAGCAUCAGUUUAUCUUCGUUGUAAAAGGGUAUCGAGAAUGUAGCAUGCCUUCGGGGAUGUGUUAUAGCUCUUUACUGGAUGCAAAGUUGUAGACUGAGGAACGCAGUGCGCCGCAAGGCAAGGUCUUUAGGCCUCGAGCACUUAGGAUGCUGGUUGAAUAGCUUUAA
rnacentral:rRNA from 1 species